AUAAGAAAUGAGCAAAGAUGCAAAUUAUAAAAUAAUAGAACAUACAUAAGGAAUAUAGAAAUUAAAUAGACUGCUUUAAAAUUUCAGGUAUAGUAAAUACAUUUUUACAGCAGCAAUCAAAUAAGAAUUAAAAAAAUAAAACACUGCAUAAUCUUCACUAUAUAAAUGAUGUAUACAUUAUUAAAGCUACAUUAAUAUUCUUUAGCCAAGAGUGAUGAGCAAUUUUCUUUUUCUGUUGUUGUUCAACAUUAAACAUUAAAUGACAUGGACACAGUCUGGUUAACCUGCUGUCACUUGAAGACCUAAUGCACAGAUCCAAUAUACUGACACACAUUUAUCUCCCAACUGUUUCCCUUUACCCAAGACAAAACCAACUGUGUUUGUGAACCUUGUGUGUCCUUGACAUAACCCAUUUUAACUGUUCACAGCCCAAUGUGACUAAAUUAAUGACUUGCACAACAAACAUUAUUUACAUUUUGGCCUUGCACUAAC